GAUGAACGCUAGCGGCAGGCCUAACACAUGCAAGUCGAGGGGUAGAACACUUCGGUGUUUGAGACCGGCGCACGGGUGCGUAACGCGUACGCAAUCUACCUUGUACAGGGGAAUAGCCCAGAGAAAUUUGGAUUAAUGCCCCAUAGUAUAUAACCUUCGCAUGUUGGUUAUAUUAAAGUUCCAACGGUACAAGAUGAGCAUGCGUCCCAUUAGUUAGUUGGUAAGGUAACGGCUUACCAAGACGAUGAUGGGUAGGGGUCCUGAGAGGGAGAUCCCCCACACUGGUACUGAGACACGGACCAGACUCCUACGGGAGGCAGCAGUGAGGAAUAUUGGUCAAUGGGCGCAAGCCUGAACCAGCCAUGCCGCGUGCAGGAAGACGGUCCUAUGGAUUGUAAACUGCUUUUAUACAGGAAGAAACCCUCCCACGUGUGGGAGAUUGACGGUACUGUAGGAAUAAGGAUCGGCUAACUCCGUGCCAGCCGCCGCUGUAAAAC
rnacentral:rRNA from 1 species